rnacentral:rRNA from 1 species
GACGAACGCUGGCGGCGUGCUUAACACAUGCAAGUCGAGCGGUAAGGCCCUUUCGGGGGUACACGAGCGGCGAACGGGUGAGUAACACGUGGGUGACCUGCCCUCAGCUCUGGGAUAAGCCUGGGAAACCGGGUCUAAUACUGGAUAUGACUCCAUGACGCAUGUUGUGGGGUGGAAAGCCUUGUGCGGCUGAGGAUGGGCCCGCGGCCUAUCAGCUUGUUGGUGGGGUGANGGCCUACCAAGGCGACGACGGGUAGCCGGCCUGAGAGGGCGACCGGCCACACUGGGACUGAGACACGGCCCAGACUCCUACGGGAGGGCAGCAGUGGGGAAUCUUGCGCAAUGGGCGAAAGCCUGACGCAGCGACGCCGCGUGAGGGAUGACGGCCUCGGUUGUAA